rnacentral:lncRNA from 1 species
UAUGAAGCAUAGACAAACGAAAAUCACUUUGAAUCAACGGAGAUGGCAUAUUUUCCCUUUUACUUAUCAUAUGGUGGUAUAUAUCUAUCAUGAUCCUGCUUCUUGUCUUUCCAAUCAUGAUAUGUUUUUCUUUUCUUAUCCCUCCAAUCAAGAUCACAAUCAUGAUCACUCCAAUCUUAAUCCUUCCAAUCUCUAUCCCUUUCCUUCAAACCUUGAUUCUCGCCUUA